CUUCUCUCUCCGCUCGUGCGUACCAAGGGGGAAAUAGCAAAUCUGCUAUCUGUUGUAAUCUUGGAGGAGCGUUGGGUAUGAGUGUGAGUAGUUUAUCACCCUAUUCUCCUUCCACGAGUGUAGCAAGAGAACUCAAGCAAAAACCCAACAUAAUCACCCCCUACACAAAUCGUGAAAUUCAUAGGGUAGCAAGACUCGUAAGCAUCCUUCUCCUUAGGUCCACUGUUCGGCUGUGUGCCCAAGCAAAGAAGCUGUAUUAUUUUUAUUACUUCCUUGUUCCUCAUGAUUAUCUUUGCCCUGUUGGAGAUUCUGCUGCAUGCAGAAAGAUAUCUUGACUCUCACCCUCCACCCUCUUCAUUUGGACGCACAUUCAUCCUCUAGUGGAGAAGUUUUGAUUGGGUCUUUUCUUCCAUGGCAUGCCACUAAAACCAAUUUCUUGGAGCUAUAGAGAAGAGAGAGGUGGCACAGCUUUUGGUCCCUGUUCUCCAUGGCCGAUUUGCACAACUUGGGUUCCUUGUAAGUAAUUGUGCCGUUAAUUCGUGAAUUGGACAUUUUCGCUGCUGUUUGGAAUCGGUAUAGUGACGUUUAAGGAGGACGCAAAAGUAUUUAAUGUUUUGUUAUGAGAUGCUUGGCUGUUUUGUGUACCCGUAGCUGGAUUCAUGGCUGUUUUGAUGAGUUGGGUGACUGUGUUUGCAAGAAGAAUAACUUGAAGUUUCAUUAUUAUGUCAUUUUGGAUUUUAAAAGUUGUUUAUUUUUGUUUGGAAAAUUUCUGGUCCAGUUACUGAUCUUGAACUUUUGGUUUAA